rnacentral:ncRNA from 1 species
UAAUUAACUAUGAUGGGAAAAGUAGAUAUAAGAACUGGUCAAAGGGAGUCGAUAAUAGUGGAACAUCGACACAAAGCUUAGAAAUUGAAAAACCACCCUGAGUUUCUAAUCUAAAACAAGAGUAAGAUUAGACGAAGCUUAAUCCGCGUUAAGGUAUAAAAGUGGCUAUUUAGCAAUUAGGGUGGUACCACGAAAUACAAACUUUCGUCCUUUAC